UGUAGGAUAGGUGGGAGGCUUUGAAGUGUGGACGCCAGUCUGCAUGGAGCCGACCUUGAAAUACCACCCUUUAAUGUUUGAUGUUCUAACGUUGACCCGUAAUCCGGGUUGCGGACAGUGUCUGGUGGGUAGUUUGACUGGGGCGGUCUCCUCCUAAAGAGUAACGGAGGAGCACGAAGGUUGGCUAAUCCUGGUCGGACAUCAGGAGGUUAGUGCAAUGGCAUAAGCCAGCUUGACUGCGAGCGUGACGGCGCGAGCAGGUGCGAAAGCAGGUCAUAGUGAUCCGGUGGUUCUGAAUGGAAGGGCCAUCGCUCAACGGAUAAAAGGUACUCCGGGGAUAACAGGCUGAUACCGCCCAAGAGUUCAUAUCGACGGCGGUGUUUGGCACCUCGAUGUCGGCUCAUCACAUCCUGGGGCUGAAGUAGGUCCCAAGGGUAUGGCUGUUCGCCAUUUAAAGUGGUACGCGAGCUGGGUUUAGAACGUCGUGAGACAGUUCGGUCCCUAUCUGCCGUGGGCGCUGGAGAACUGAGGGGGGCUGCUCCUAGUACGAGAGGACCGGAGUGGACGCAUCACUGGUGUUCGGGUUGUCAUGCCAAUGGCACUGCCCGGUAGCUAAAUGCGGAAGAGAUAAGUGCUGAAAGCAUCUAAGCACGAAACUUGCC
rnacentral:rRNA from 1 species